rnacentral:tRNA from 1 species
ACGGGUGUAGCUCAAUUGGUAGAGCGUUGGUCUCCAAAACCAAAGGUCGGGAGUUCGAGCCUCUCCACCCGUG